UACGAAGGGGCUAGCGUUGUUCGGAAUACUGGGCGUAAAGCGCACGUAGGCGGAUCGAUCAGUCAGGGUGAAAUCCCAGGCUCAACCCUGGAACUGCCUUUGAUACUGUCGAUCUGGAGUAUGGAAGAGGUGAGUGGAAUUCCGGAAUGUAGAGGUGAAAUUCGUAGAUAUUCGGGGAACACCAGUGGCGAAGGCGGCUACACUGGUCCAUUACUGACGCUGAGGUGCGAAAGCGUGGGGAG
rnacentral:rRNA from 1 species